CCUGACUGUGCUAAGGUAGCGUAAUCAGUUGGCUUUUAAAUGGAGUCGAGUAUGAAUGGGUCUACGGAAACAAGCUGUCUCUUUAUGGUUUUAUUGAAGUUUCUUUAAGGGUGCAAAGUCCCUUGAUUAGAAAAAAGACGAGAAGACCCUUAGAGUUUUUAUUUAAGGUAAGAAUUUAUCUAAGUUUUUGCUGGGGCGGCAAAGAGACAAAUAGUUAACUCUCUUCCUAUUAUUUUUAGAAGACGAUAAUGUUAAGAAUCAUUAAACUACCUUAGGGAUAACAGCAUAAUUAAAUUUUAGUUUGUGACCUCGAUGUUGGACUAGGAAAGUUUUUGACCAGCAGUCAAAAAUCGCGGUUCUGUUCGAACUCA
rnacentral:rRNA from 1 species